UACGAAGGGGGCUAGCGUUGUUCGGAAUCACUGGGCGUAAAGGGCGCGUAGGCGGCUUUGUAAGUCGGGGGUGAAAGCCUGUGGCUCAACCACAGAAUUGCCUUCGAUACUGCAUGGCUUGAGACCGGAAGAGGUAAGUGGAACUGCGAGUGUAGAGGUGAAAUUCGUAGAUAUUCGCAAGAACACCAGUGGCGAAGGCGGCUCACUGGCCCGGUACUGACGCUGAGGCGCGAAAGCGUGGGGAGCAAACAGGG
rnacentral:rRNA from 1 species